GCUGUCGCGUUACCCUUCUAAGAGAUGUUGACAGGGAUGUGAAGAUCAAAUAUUCGUUUGACGAUGACUUCAACCGGGAAGUCGAAGUAGAUUAUGAAGAUAGGCCAUGGCCAUUUCUGAGGGAAGUCUUAGCUCCACUCGUCCGCCACCCUGAUCCCGUCCAAUUCAUCCAGGCUGAGGUUGCCCCUGGACCACAGUUCAGGACGAGCAUUGCGGGAGUGGAGCUACCUAGGCCUGCAGUCACUCAGGUGAUUGCCGAAGCAGCAUCUGCUUCUCCAGUCUUCACCUGGCAACAAAUCGUCCCUGCAGUCGCACAGCCUCCAGUCUUCACCAGGCAACAAAUCGUCCCUGCAGUCGCACAGCCUCCAGUCUUCACCAGGCAACAAAUCGUCCCUGCAGUCGCACAGCCUCCAGUCUUCAUCGGUAAACAAAUCGUCCCUGUAGUCACACAGCCUCCAGUCUUCGUCACCAAGUCUAGGGUUGACAGCGAAGAAGAAUAGAUGCCAAAAGUCAUGGAAGAGUUUUCAUGACUUAUUAUCUCAAAAAUCUUCAAAAUAUCUAGUGCGGUUGACUGGUCUGCUACAGAGCCCAAAUCUCUACUUUGACCGAUUCAUUGUCAGAAAAGUUCUACCAUAAUUGAUCCCACUUACUCUUCAAGAUUCUAAACUACUAUUGCUGUUUUUCUGACAAUUGUAUUACUUCUUCCAAGGCUUUCUUCACUUUCACUUUGUUCUUUCUUCACACGCUUUCUCUUUUAAUCACUGAUUGGUCCUACAAUUGUAAACUAUUGUAAAAUUGUAAAAUUACAAUACAGGCCUCUAACAUUAAAGAUCGAUAAGAG